rnacentral:rRNA from 1 species
CUUGUCUCAAAGAUUAAGCCAUGCAUGUCUAAGUAUAAACAAAUCUAUACUGUGAAACUGCGAAUGGCUCAUUAUAUCAGUUAUAGUUUAUUUGAUGGUCCUUGCUACUUGGAUAACCGUAGUAAUUCUAGAGCUAAUACAUGCAUCAAACCCCGACUUCUGGAAGGGGUGUAUUUAUUAGAUGGAAACCAAUGCGGGGCAACCCGGUAAAUGGUGAUUCAUAAUAACUUUCGGAUCGAUCUUCGGAUCGAUGCAUCAUUCAAGUUUCUGCCCUAUCAGCUUUGGAUGGUAGGGUAUUGGCCUACCAUGGCUUUAACGGGUAACGGAGAAUUAGGGUUCGAUUCCGGAGAGGGAGCCUGAGAAACGGCUACCACAUCCAAGGAAGGCA